AAACCUAGAUUUUGCUAGUCCUCAAGAAAAAUAAAAAAACAAAAAAUGAAACAAAUAAAAUCCUACAUACAACUAAGCCACUUUUGUAGGGAACACGAUAGUAUUUAGCGUAUACUACAAGCCUUUAAACCUCUAGGUGUCCCUAAUAAGAGGAGUUUUGUGACACCCCCAAAAUAGGUAUACAUCACCCAUUCUGAGUCGUCAAAUACAUGGUAUAAAAAC
rnacentral:lncRNA from 1 species